rnacentral:rRNA from 1 species
UACGGGGGGAGCAAGCGUUGUUCGGAUUUACUGGGCGUAAAGGGCGCGUAGGCGGCCACCGCAAGUCGGUUGUGAAAUCUCCGGGCUUAACCCGGAAAGGUCAAUCGAUACUGCGGGGCUAGAGUGCAGAAGGGGCAACUGGAAUUCUCGGUGUAGCGGUGAAAUGCGUAGAUAUCGAGAGGAACACCUGCGGCGAAGGCGGGUUGCUGGGCUGACACUGACGCUGAAGCGCGAAAGCUAGGGGAGCGAACGGGG